CCUACGGGUGGCAGCAGUGGGGAAUAUUGCGCAAUGGGGGCAACCCUGACGCAGCAACGCCGCGUGAUUGAAGAAGGCCUUCGGGUUGUAAAGAUCUUUUGUCAGGGAGCAAAGGCGUCUACGUGUGGACGAGAGGAGAGUACCUGAAGAAAAAGCAUCGGCUAACUCCGUGCCAGCAGCCGCGGUAAUACGGAGGAUGCGAGCGUUAUCCGGUUUUAUUGGGUUUAAAGGGUGCGUAGGCGGAGUGUCAAGUCAGCGGUAAAAUUUCGGGGCUCAACCCCGUAGUGCCGUUGAAACUGACGCCCGUGAGUGAGUAAGAAGUAAGCGGAAUGCGUGGUGUAGCGGUGAAAUGCAUAGAUAGCACGCAGAACGCCGAUUGCGAAGGCAGCUUACCGGCGCUCAACUGACGCUGAGGCACGAAAGUGCGGGUAUCGAACAGGAUUAGAUACCCUAGUAGUC
rnacentral:rRNA from 1 species